GGGGGCAUAGCUCAGUAGUAGAGCACAUGCUCAGCAUGCAUGAAGUCCUGGGUUCAAUCCCCAGUACCCCCA
rnacentral:tRNA from 1 species